rnacentral:rRNA from 1 species
GUGGGGUAGUGGCCUACCAAGGCGACGACGGGUAGCCGGCCUGAGAGGGUGACCGGCCACACUGGGACUGAGACACGGCCCAGACUCCUACGGGAGGCAGCAGUGGGGAAUCUUGCGCAAUGGGCGAAAGCCUGACGCAGCAACGCCGCGUGGGGGAUGACGGCCUUCGGGUUGUAAACCUCUUUCGACAUCGACGAAGCCUUAGGGUGACGGUAGGUGUAUAAGAAGCACCGGCUAACUACGUGCCAGCAGCCGCGGUAAUACGUAGGGUGCGAGCGUUGUCCGGAUUUAUUGGGCGUAAAGAGCUCGUAGGCGGUCUGUCGCGUCUAUCGUGAAAACCGGGAGCUUAACUCCCGGCUUGCGGUGGAUACGGGCAGACUUGAGUUCGGUAGGGGAGACUGGAAUUCCUGGUGUAGCGGUGAAAUGCGCAGAUAUCAGGAGGAACACCGAUGGCGAAGGCAGGUCUCUGGGCAUUAACUGACGCUGAGGAGCGAAAGCAUGGGGAGCGAACAGGAUUAGAUACCCUGGUAGUCCAUGCCGUAAACGUUGGGCACUAGGUGUGGGGGACAUUCCACGUUUUCCGCGCCGUAGCUAACGCAU